rnacentral:rRNA from 1 species
AUGGCCUACCAAGGCGGUGACGGGUAGCCGGCCUGAGAGGGCGACCGGCCACACUGGGACUGAGACACGGCCCAGACUCCUGCGGGAGGCAGCAGUGGGGAAUAUUGCACAAUGGGCGAAAGCCUGAUGCAGCGACGCCGCGUGAGGGAUGACGGCCUUCGGGUUGUAAACCUCUUUCAGCAGGGACCAAGCGCAAGUGAGUGUACCUGCAGAAGAAGCACCGGCUAACUACGUGCCAGCAGCCGCGGUAAUACGUAGGGUGCGAGCGUUGUCCGGAUUUAUUGGGCGUAAAGGGCUCGUAGGCGGCCUGUCGCGUCGGAAGUGAAAGCCCACUGCUUAACGGUGGGUCUGCUUCCGGUACGGGCAGGCUGGAGUAUGGCAGGGGAGACUGGAAUUCCUGGUGUAGCGGUGGAAUGCGCAGAUAUCAGGAGGAACACCGGUGGCGAAGGCGGGUCUCUGGGCCAUUACUGACGCUGAGGAGCGAAAGCGUGGGGAGCGAACAGGAUUAGAUACCCUGGUAGUCCACGCCGUAAACGUUGGGCGCUAGGUGUGGGGACUGUUUCCACGGUCUCCGUGCCGUCGC